rnacentral:rRNA from 1 species
UACGUAGGGUGCAAGCGUUAAUCGGAAUACUGGGCGUAAAGCGUGCGCAGGCGGUUUUGUAAGUCUGACGUGAAAUCCCCGGGCUCAACCUGGGAAUUGCGUUGGAGACUGCAAGGCUGGAGUCUGGCAGAGGGGGGUAGAAUUCCACGUGUAGCAGUGAAAUGCGUAGAGAUGUGGAGGAACACCGAUGGCGAAGGCAGCCCCCUGGGUCAAGACUGACGCUCAUGCACGAAAGCGUGGGGAGCAAACAGGAUUAGAAACCC